rnacentral:lncRNA from 10 species
GAACAAGUGGGAUUUUUUUACAUCUUUGAAAGUGUUUGUCUCCACCACAGGACCGGAUGCCAGACCUUAGAUUCCAGCUCCUUUCGGGGUCAUUUCCCUCUUGGAAUCAGGAUCAAGGUGGGCAGAGCCUACGGUCAGGCCACAGUACACUCUUGGGAGAGGCAGCUUGGAUUACUUUAGCACAAGGGACUUUCCAAAACCAAAGUUAUUAGGAAAAGCAGAAUGGAGAAUAUUUGGAAAAAAUGCUGUUAACACCUGAUCCACACGUUCUUUCCUUCCCCUGUGCUGCUCAUAAUCACUUACAGACGCUGAGGUGUGUAGGAACGGACAGGCAACCUCAGCCUGCAGAGACCCCAAGACAUGACAACAUGGAAGCCUCACCUCGGAUACCGUUUCUGAUUAUUAUGAAAUGGAGUACAGGCUUCCACCUCCAUCACUGACACUCCUUCUUUUGGUGAACCACAAGAAGAUUGGCAUUCUGGUUGUGAGCCCUGCCCAUCACAGGAGAUCUGGCAACCAAAAAACAGCAACACAAAGGGACCGAGACGCCUCUCUUGUAUGAGGUCUUGUCAUGCCAAGUGUAUGGGAUUUGGAGUCAGCCUGGUCACAGUUUGAACCCUUGUUACACCAUUUUGAGACUGCGGACCUCAGAGAAUCUGUUUCCUCUUCUGUAAAAUGAGGUGACUAUUCCUCUUCUGUAAAAUGAGGAGUUUGUUUUGCUUUCUUGAAAUCGGCCAUCAUUCAAUUCCUCUGCCAGAGUCCAUGUUAGCCUGAGACCAACUGGAAAUUUUUUGCCUCUGAGAAAGGAAACCAGAGAGACUCCUCCGUGAGCUCCGGAGGAAGAGACGCCAGCCUUCUGACUUCUCAAAGCAUGUUAUUCGCAUCACUACCUACUCAGGCCACACGGGGGAGCCGCGGGCCGGGCAAAGGCGAGUCCGCGCGCCCGCCCAGCGCACACCUGCCCGGCGGUGGCGGAUGCCGGCUGCGGGCUCCCAGCGUGGGCCAAGAGUCCUCACUCGGCGAGUUACACUGAAAUCAAAAUGAAGCAGAAAGAUGUGGCUUUAAAAAGAGAAAAACAUUUUCAAGUCACGUGCUUUUUUCUUCGCUUCCCUCUUAUCGUGAAAUCUGAGAAAUGUCAAACAAGAAAGGAAUGAAGUAAAUCAGGAUUACAGUUUAAUUCGAAGGCAGGUGGUGGGGGGUGAAGGGGAGGGAAGGAGGGAGGGAGGAAGGAAGCAGGAAGGAAGGAUGGACGGAUGAAUGGGUCUAUCCUAGGAUCCUUCUGUUGGUGUGAAGUUGGGAGUGACUCGGGUUAAGCAGAAAUGGGAUUAUGCGAACCCUCAGUCACGUGUCUGGGAAAAGGAUCUCUUGAAAGACUGGAGGUUUUAACAAAUAAGGAUUUGCCCGCAUUCGUGUACUUUUCGGCACUAUUUUCUCAAAACAGCAGACACCUGUGGGACUGAAUUGUUCACUAAUCCUCAAAGAAUAAAAGCAACCUAGAAGCAUUUAAAGGGCAGUUAAGAUAACAGCCUGAACUUGGACAAGCAGGUGGCCAGUUCCUUAAGCAAAUACUUAGACACCUAACUAAACACUACCUCUCUUUUUUUCCUUGACUUAAGCAUUUCAAACCAAGCCCCCACCACCUUCCUGAGCCAGGGUCCGCAGGAGCUCCAGGGCCACUACACAUGGUGUUGCCCUGCCCUAGAUAAUCAGUAAGUAUUCACUGAAUCAAUAAGCACUUUAAUAAAUGAUCCUCUCUUCAAAUCAUCAUUAACCUUAAUCCUUAGCAUGAAGGAAAUAAUGAAAUAAUGGUUAUUAUAAGUUAGGUCUCAAGAAUUCAAGCAUACAUGAAACAUGCCAUGCAAAUCAUAUUAGUGUGUAGUUGUUACAACUAGAACACUCAACCAAGUCACACGUUCCAAAAAGCUCCAAUCCUAAUAAUGCUCCAUGCCUAUAACCCCUUUGAGCUAUUCCCCUGUCACCAGCAGCCUUCCCCCUUUAUAGAUUUAAUCUUUUCAUUCAUCCCUUCAUGAAGUAAAUCCUGUAUUGAAAACUCCAAGCUGCUCACAAAUAAGAUAAGCCACUAGAGGUAUGAAAGUGAUUGUCAGUUACUCAAUCUAAUGGGGAAAUCAAAUAAAUGACAGUGGGAUCGUCCAACAGAUCAGGUGGAAGGGCUACAGGAGGAGUGUGGUGAUGGGAUGUCACAGGAGUUUUACAGAGAAGGUGACUUUUGAGCUGUGUCAUCAGGAAACAGUAAGACUUUGCUAGUUGGAAAAAGUCACAAGUAAUAACUGCAGUUUCCCAAUUCAUAAUGUUUAAAAAGCAUGGGUUUUUGAGUCACACAGUCCUUAGACACUUGACAAGAUAAGGCAUUAAUAGCAGAGGUUCAUUUGGCUUUUUCACAGUGAUAAAUUCAUUUAUUUUUAAAAUAUUUUGGCACUCCCCUUUAGUUCUACAAAUGUACUGAUACUAUACUACAGUUAUCAGUGAAGCAACAGCAUGUAGGAGUGGGAUCCAUGGGUUCACCUAAUACCUUAAAUAUCUGCCAUAAUCUCUUGGUAGUCCUUCCCUCAUCAGUGAUGAAUAAGUGGGAAACAAAAUUAUUACACAACCCAUAGUGUUCAUAAGAGAAACCAAACCAGUUCUUUGCUUCAUUCAUUCACUUAUUCAUUGACUCAGACAUUAAUAUUAAUUGCUGAUUAUGUUGCAAGCCUUGUCUAAGGUUACUACCCCUAAGGAGCUCCCAGAUUGGUGUAGACCACAGAACAAAACCAGGUAACUCAAGUGUGUUACCAGGUGACACCAGCAUAGUGAGGACAUGAAACGGCCAAGCUGGUGAGCACAGAGGGGCACAGCAGAGAGGGACCCUAAUCCAGACCUGUGGCAUCAGAGAAAACUUCCUGGAGGAGGUCUUUCUGAGCUGCUUCUUGAAGAGUGCUGUACUUUCCUCUAAUCUGGUCUGGAGGGCUCUCCCUGGAGAGGGGUUAUAAAUUCUAGUCCUGCCCUGAUGGGGCUACAGGAAAGGCGGUCAUGAGUAUUUACAGUGUGCCUUUCAUGGGAUACUACUUUACCCUGGUCAAUGGCCUCAUGCCUAAGUGUCUGACUCAUGACCAGGUGUCCCUCUCACAGGAAACUUGUUUAUAUUGGCAGACACCCUUGUGGCUCUUGUCUGACCUGUGUCCAGUGCAUUCUUACCAAGAUAGCCACUCUGUAGGAGAGCUCUGACGGGGAGAAGAGUUAGGUUCGACUGUGUCCGUGGGGUGAGACACAGAGGAGGCAGUGCAACAAACACAUUAAAUAACAAAAGCAGUGCAUUACCUACAGACCCAGAGAGAAGAGGGCAGCACGCCUUGCCUCACAGGGCCAGUGGGAUGAGAAGAGCUGUCCAGGACACAUGCACUCAACCAAGGAGUGGGGAGCAAGAGAGAGAGAACCUGUGGGACUAAAGCCUUUACUGGGGACCAGGGCAUUACCCAGUUUCCCGUGGGUAAUUCUACUUGGUGGGUUUGGAGCAAGCAGGUCCAUGUCUCAUGCAGUCACACUGGGACUGGUCACUAUGGCAUAUCUGCACAGUCCAUGUUAGGUACGUGGGUCAGUAAGGUGAUUCAAGUAGGCUGCAUUGGGAGGUGGUCCCAUAGGGAGGUGGUCACCAGGAGGCAGUUGUAUAAGGCAAUGUAUAAGUCCAUUUUCAUGCUGCUGAUAAAGACAUACUUGAGACUGGAUAAUUUAUAAAGAAAAAGAGGUUUAAUGGACCCACAGUUCCACAUGGCUGGGGAGGCCUCACAAUCAUGGUAGAAGGUGAAAGACAUGUCUUACAUGGUGGCAGUCAAGAGAGAAUGAGAGCCAAGUGAAAGGGGUUUCCCCUUAUAAAAUCAUCAGAUCUCGUGAGUCUUAUUCACUACCAUGAGAACAGUAUGGGGGAACCGCCCCCAUGAUUCAAUUAUCUCCCACUGUGUCCCUCCCACAACACAUGAAAAUUAUGGGAGCUACAAUUCAAGAUGAGAUUUGGGUGGGGACACAGCCAAACCAUUAUCAGGCAGAUAUCUGGAUUGACCAGGUUGAGGAACUGGGAGGAAGUGUAGAACUGGAAACUCUGUCAAGGGUGACUGAGCCCUGCUUCUGGUAUGAAAGAGUUUAAGUUUCAGUCAAAGUAGAUGCUGCAGCAAUGUAAAAUUAUGAGUUCAUGACAAGGAGGAAAGUCAAAGGCCAGCCAGAGAGAAUGGCAUGUUCCACUGCCUGGAAGCAAAAGAGCCCACUGUGCCAAUGGUUAGUCUGACUGGAGUAUAGAGCUCCAGGCAUGGCAAGUGGUGGCUGAAAAUGAACCUAGAGAGAGGCGUGAAGGGCUCAGAAGUUGCUGAAGAACUUGGAAUGCAGCCAAGGAAUGGUUUUAAGCAGAAAAGCGAUAAGAUCAAAUCUGUCUUUUGAACUUCACCCUGGCUUUAGUAUAGAGACAGGUAUAACAGAAGGCAAGAAGACAGAUUAGAAACCUUUUGCAAUAAUGUGCGAGAAAAACACAACUGAUCUUGGCUAAUCAACAAAGUCCCAGUCUAAGUUAGAGGGCCAGAAUGAUGAUUUGGAUUCAGUUUAACUGGCCACUGCUUGGGUCUGCUGAAGAGCUAGCAAAGAAACUAGCAGGGAGGCACAGUGUAAAAAUGAUAGACGUAACCAAAUUUCUUGUGGAUGCAGCUGUCGUAUUCAGGGGAGGAGGGUCCCCUCUCUGGAGGUGGAGGGAAGACUUUGAAUAAUGCCCAGAUGCAUUAUUUGAAUCAGCAAAAAGAGCCCACCUCUUCCCUGGCUGGACUCUGGACUCUGUUUCUUUCCAUCAUAUUAGGCUUAGGGCAGGCCUGACAUGGUCGGUCUCAGUGUUGGAACCCUGAACUGAUGUCAUGGAAAAAGGGCCGGUGAAAGGUAGGAAGAUUAAAGAUGUUGAGAAAAAUGUCAAUAGGAUAGGGUGAUGAAUUGCACCUGAGCAGUGAGCAGAAGGGAGGAGUUCUGCAAGGUGUCUGGAUUGGUUGAGCGCUGUUUUCUAAUUCAGGAGAAAGGGGGAGAAAAGAGUUCAUAGCAAUUAACACUAUACGCCAGCCAGUUUACAUAUUUUGACUUACUGAAAUCUCAUAACACUUCUGAAGGGGAUCGUAGUAUCCUCAUCCUAGAGUUGAGCAGCAAGGCUCAGGGGGGCCAAGGGAAGUGUCUGUGCUCAUAGGGAGCUGCAGAGUCAGCUUCAGGAAUCCACAAUCUCUCUGGAAAGCUACAUCAACACUUCUCUUGUCUCUCACAGUUGGGCCUUCUGGUAUUUUUAUGCUCAACUUCUUAACUUCUCUGAAAAAAGCACGGUCUCCUGUAGUAAGCAGAAAACAAUCUUCCACUCACUGAACUAAGCUGCUGACUUUUUACCUCAUCACUUUUUUAGAAGUUCAAGGGAUAUUUCUUGUUUAUCAGCUGCUCCAGUACAAGUUCAUCUAACAGAACACGUCAGCUCUGUGUGCAAUCUGAGCUUCACAUGCAGCUUCCUGCCAAUGAGCUAAUUUUGUGGCAUGGUUUUAGAAACAGAAGAGUUACUUUGAUGUUUUGGAAUAGUUAAGCCUCUUGGAGAUACGAGCAUGACUUUUCCUUUAUCCACAAACUGCUAUUUGCAAGACAGUGGAACCUCUUGGAAACCAACGAGUAUCUUCAUAGAUUCAUAUCUAAGUACUUUUCUGAGAUUAUGAGAAAAAUACAUAUUCCACGUGAUUUAGGUCAUUAUUUCUAAUAAGGGGACAGUUAGAGCACUGCUUCUCUGCUUUGGUUUCUUCAGCCAUGACACCUGAGAAAAUUAAUGGAAGUGAUAAAUCCAAGAGAAUGUGGCCUCCAGGGAACAGAAAUCCAAUCAAGAAAUGACUAUUUGACAGGUUGUAUUAUUAUUCAUCUGAUGACUCUUAUUUCUAGAUAUACAAUGAAGAAUGUCAAAGAAAAGGUAGCAAGCUACCCAAUUCAUGCAAUAAAAGCAAAUGUAAACCUUAUAACUAAACGAUAAAUACAGCAGUCUUGUUUCAACAUUAUCAUUAUAGUGGACAAUAUAAACGUUAUGUACCAGGCACAGUUCUAAACCUCUUCAAUAAAUUGUCUUACUUAAACCUUAUAAUGAUCAGUAAGAAAACUAUAUUCCCAUUUUACAGAUAUGGACACUGAGGCCAAGAAAAGUUCAUUUGCAAAUGACAAGAAGAUGAUUAGAAUUUGGGCAGUCUGGCUUCAGAGCCUGUGGCUGUCAUCUUAAAUACUACUAGGAAUAAACUCAGUUAUGUAUUUUAAGGGUAGCCUGGUUGACCCCAAGGGUAGCCUAGUUUAUCUUGGUCUUGAUAGACUUUUGCCUUUCCUACUAACAAAGUGUUGAUAAAAGAUUCUUAAGUCAUUUCGUGACAUGGCAAGGGAGAGAAAACAAAGUAUCCUCUACCACUGUUCUCCCUCAACCCCUCCACACCCCAGCUCUGCAACUUAACAAGAAUAAACUUAUUGUUAACCCCUACAAUCUUCAUCAGUCCUUACGGUGGUUUUAUGGCCUAGCUCUUACAACAAAAGAUGAAGCCAGAAGAGCACCUUUUACUCUUUGAGGAACUGUCCUUUCCCCACUUGGUGUGUUCGGGUGGACACAGUACCCUAUCCCCGACCUAGGUGAUUGGUCCGGGGUGGACUGAUAUACCAUCUAUUUUUAGAUAUGAAAAUAGAAAUUCUUAAAAAGUUUAGUCAUCACAAAUAGUAAUAAAUCCAUUGCAUGUAAAUACAAAUAACUUUUUAAAAAGAAAAUAACUAUAUUUUCCAAAAAUGAUUAGUAAGAAGAUAGGCAUUGCUCUGCAUGUUUUCAAAUCUCUUCAACAUUUGGCUUAGUAGAAGACAGCCAGAUUCUCAUAGCUUCAUAGAUUCCAUUAGCCAUUGAAGCAAUGAGGUUACCACAUGUCAACUAACUUCUGGAAGACACCACUGUACGCUUGGCAGAGAAUGAGUGAAAAAGGCAACUAACAUCUUAACAUUAUAAUGAAAGUAGUUUUGACUUUGCAGAACCCCAUGAAGUUCCCAUGUCACACUUUAGGAACCACUGCUCUAGGGAAAUGUAUCCAUUUUUGACUUCACUACUUACUAUUAAGGGCUUAGACUCUAAGAAGUUACAUGUUUUACUGUAGACCUCAUCUGCUAGAUACGUAAAUAUUGUCUGUCUAGUAUAAAAGAUAACUCCACAGGUUAGGAUCUGUCUCUAAUUCAGCAAACAUUUAAAAAUGCUUUUCCUGGUGAAGACAUACAUCCUAUUCCUUUCAUUCUCCUUUGAACCACUUUUGCCUAUUGGUUCUCUGACCAAUGAGUUGAACAUAAUCUUUGACUUAUUUACUCUAUUUGUAUACUUAUGUUUUAAACUUUUGGAACAUGAUAGCUUGACAUGCACUUGGCUAUUUCUGGAGAUUUCACCAAGUUUUCUGUAAGAAAUGGUUAAACUUCUAGCUAGGCUGGCCCUUGUGAAAGUAGAAAGGAGACAACAGGUGAUUUUGCUAAAAGAAACUCGCUCUUCCGCAGCUAGCAAACAUGACUGGAUGAGAUUAAACAAUCAAAGCCCUCUCAGCAUUUAAAAAUCCCAACUCUCAGUCUUGAUCCACAGGAGCAAAGGGUAGAUUCUAAAACCAUGGACGCGAUGGGGAUCGGGAGGAGCCUGAGAACCAGGAGACCCCUGAUCAUCCCCUUCUAAGCCCCUCCUCUUAUGCAUACCCUUCUGGGCAAAAGCAAUCUGGUGGAGUUGCAACAUGCAUGUAUUGGACUGAAUUAUACACGUUCUGUUGGAGAGUGGUGGUGGUGGUGGUAACUAAGAAG